rnacentral:rRNA from 1 species
GAUGAACGCUGGCGGCGUGCCUAAUACAUGCAAGUCGAGCGAACAGACGAGGAGCUUGCUUCUCUGACGUUAGCGGCGGACGGGUGAGUAACACGUGGAUAACCUACCUAUAAGACUGGGAUAACUUCGGGAAACCGGAGCUAAUACCGGAUAAUAUUUUGAACCGCAUGGUUCAAUAGUGAAAGACGGUUUUGCUGUCACUUAUAGAUGGAUCCGCGCUGCAUUAGCUAGUUGGUAAGGUAACGGCUUACCAAGGCAACGAUGCAUAGCCGACCUGAGAGGGUGAUCGGCCACACUGGAACUGAGACACGGUCCAGACUCCUACGGGAGGCAGCAGUAGGGAAUCUUCCGCAAUGGGCGAAAGCCUGACGGAGCAACGCCGCGUGAGUGAUGAAGGUCUUCGGAUCGUAAAACUCUGUUAUUAGGGAAGAACAAAUGUGUAAGUAACUGUGCACAUCUUGACGGUACCUAAUCAGAAAGCCACGGCUAACUACGUG